rnacentral:rRNA from 1 species
GACGUAGGAUGCAAGCGUUGUCCGGAUUUAUUGGGCGUAAAGAGUUCGUAGGCGGUUCGUUAAGUUUGGUGUUAAAGACUGUGGCUCAACCACGGGAUCGCACUGAAUACUGGCGGACUGGAGUGUAGUAGAGGCAAGCGGAAUUCCCAGUGUAGCGGUGAAAUGCGUAGAUAUUGGGAAGAACACCGGUGGCGAAGGCGGCUCUCUGGACCGAUACUGACGCUGAGGCGCGAAAGCGUGGGGAGCAAACAGG